rnacentral:rRNA from 1 species
CAAAAACAUCGCCUCCUGCAAAAAUCAACGUAUAAGAGGUCCUACCUGCCCAGUGACUAAGUUAAACGGCCGCGGUAUUUUGACCGUGCAAAGGUAGCGCAAUCACUUGUCUUUUAAAUAAAGACCUGUAUGAAUGGUGAAACGAGGGCUUAACUGUCUCCCUUUUCUGAUCAGUGAAAUUGAUCUACCCGUGCAGAAGCGGGUAUAAAUAUACAAGACGAGAAGACCCUAUGGAGCUUUAGACAAAAAGUCAUCUAUGUUAAAAAACUCUAAUAAAAGAAAUAAAACAAAAUAGCAACUGACCAAUGUCUUCGGUUGGGGCGACCACGGAGGAAAACAAAUCCCCCAUGUGGAACGGGAAACUCCCCUAAAACCACGAGGUACACCUCUAAGUCACAGUACUUCUGACCAAAGGAUCCGGCACUUAGCCGAUCAACGAACCAAGUUACCCUAGGGAUAACAGCGCAAUCCCCUCCGAGAGUCCUUAUCGACAAGGGGGUUUACGACCUCGAUGUUGGAUCAGGACAUCCUAAUGGUGCAGCCGCUAUUAAGGGUUCGUUUGUUCAACGAUUAAAGUCCUACGUGAUCUGAG